GCCCGGGUGGCGAAAUUGGUACACGCGCACGACUUAAAAUCGUGUGCCGCAAGGCAUGUGGGUUCGACCCCCACCCCGGGCA
rnacentral:tRNA from 1 species